rnacentral:rRNA from 1 species
GCACGGGUGAGUACACGUGAAUAUCUACCUCCGAGUGGGGAAUAACUGAGAGAAAUCUUAGCUAAUACCGCAUAACACUUACGAGUCAAAGCAGCAAUGCGCUUGGAGAGGAGUUCGCGGCAGAUUAGUUAGUUGGCGGGGUAAUGGCCCACCAAGACGAUGAUCUGUAUCCGGCCUGAGAGGGCGCACGGACACACUGGAACUGAAACACGGUCCAGACUCCUACGGGAGGCAGCAGUGGGGAAUUUUGCGCAAUGGGGGAAACCCUGACGCAGCAACGCCGCGUGGAGGAUGAAAUCCCUUGGGAUGUAAACUCCUUUCGAUAGGGAAGAUAAUGACGGUACCUAUAGAAGAAGCCCCGGCUAACUUCGUGCCAGCAGCCGCGGUAAUACGAGGGGGGCAAGCGUUGUUCGGAAUUAUUGGGCGUAAAGGGUGCGUAGGCGGUUUGACAAGUCUUAUGUGAAAUCUUCGGGCUCAACCCGAAGUCUGCAUGGGAAACUGUCGGGCUUGAGUAUUGGAGAGGUGAGUGGAAUUUCCGGUGUAGCGGUGAAAUGCGUAGAUAUCGGAAGGAACACCUGUG